UCGACGAUGAUCCGGUGCUUGCACCGGGGAUUAGUGGCGAACGGGUGAGUAACACGUGAGUAACCUGCCCUUAACUCUGGGAUAAGCCUGGGAAACUGGGUCUAAUACCGGAUAUGACUCCUCAUCGCAUGGUGGGGGGUGGAAAGCUUUUGUGGUUUUGGAUGGACUCGCGGCCUAUCAGCUUGUUGGUGAGGUAAUGGCUCACCAAGGCGACGACGGGUAGCCGGCCUGAGAGGGUGACCGGCCACACUGGGACUGAGACACGGCCCAGACUCCUACGGGAGGCAGCAGUGGGGAAUAUUGCACAAUGGGCGCAAGCCUGAUGCAGCGACGCCGCGUGAGGGAUGACGGCCUUCGGGUUGUAAACCUCUUUCAGUAGGGAAGAAGCGAAAGUGACGGUACCUGCAGAAGAAGCGCCGGCUAACUACGUGCCAGCAGCCGCGGUAAUACGUAGGGCGCAAGCGUUAUCCGGAAUUAUUGGGCGUAAAGAGCUCGUAGGCGGUUUGUCGCGUCUGCCGUGAAAGUCCGGGGCUCAACUCCGGAUCUGCGGUGGGUACGGGCAGACUAGAGUGAUGUAGGGGAGACUGGAAUUCCUGGUGUAGCGG
rnacentral:rRNA from 1 species